rnacentral:rRNA from 1 species
AGUGGAUGGGGAGCAACCUAGUUGUGCGUGUGUAAAGGUGGUGCCAAGAAAAGCGGUGAUCAUGAUGAAAAUCAAUUCCCGGUACCCGAAACCGACACAGGUGGGCAAGUAGAGAAUACUAAGGGGCGCGAGGUAACUCUCUCCAAGGAACUCGGCAAAAUGACCCCGUAACUUAGGGAGAAGGGGUGCCACCGAGAGGUGGUCGCAGUGAAGAGGCCCAGGCGACUGUUUAGCAAAAACAUAGGUCUCUGCAAACUCGAAAGAGGAGGUAUAGGGGCUGACGCCUGCCCAGUGCCGGAAGGUUAAAGAAGUUGGUCAGUCUUAGGAUAAAGCUAGCGACUGAAGCCCCGGUGAACGGCGGCCGUAACUAUAACGGUCCUAAGGUAGCGAAAUUCCUUGUCGGGUCAGUUCCGACCCGCACGAAAGGCGUAACGAUCUGGGCGCUGUCUCGGAGAGAGGCUCGGCGAAAUAGGAUUGUCUGUGAAGAUACGGACUACCUGCAUUUGGACAGAAAGACCCUAUGAAGCUUUACUAUAGCUUGGAAUUGUGUUCGGGCUUCCUGUGCGCAGGAUAGGUGGGAGGCGUAGAAGGUAUUCUUGUGGGGAUACUGGAGCCAACGGUGAGAUACCACUCUCAGGAGGCUAGAAUUCUAACUUAAUUAAGGACAGUUUCAGGUGGGUAGUUUGACUGGGGCGGUCGCCUCCAAAAAGGUAACGGAGGCGUACAAAGGUUCCCUCAGACUGUUGGAAAUCAGUCGCAGAGUGCAAAGGCAGAAGGGAGCUUGACUGCGAGAAGUACAGUUCGAGCAGGGUGGAAACACGGUCUUAGUGAUCCGACGGUGCUGUGUGGAAGGGCCGUCGUUCAACGGAUAAAAGUUACUCUAAGGAUAACAGGCUGAUCUCCCCCAAGAGUUCACAUCGACGGGGAGGUUUGGCACCUCGAUGUCGGCUCAUCGCAACCUGGGGCGGAAGUACGUCCCAAGGGUUGGGCUGUUCGCCCAUUAAAGCGGUACGUGAGCUGGGUUCAGAACGUCGUGAGACAGUUCGGUCCAUAUCCGAUGUAGGCGUGAGAAUAUUGAGAGGAGCCUUCCUUAGUACGAGAGGACCGGGAAGGACGCACCGCUGGUGUACCUGUUAUGAUGCCAAUUGUAAACGCAGGGUAGCCAAGUGCGGAGAGGAUAACCGCUGAAAGCAUCUAAGUGGGAAGCCCACCUCAAGAUGAGUAUUCUGGUGUAAGGUCACGGGAAGACGACCCGUAAAUAGGCACGAGGUGGAAGUGCAGAGAUGUAUGAAGCCGAAGUGUACUAAUAGACCGUCGGCUUGACC